CCUACGGGAGGCAGCAGUGAGGAAUAUUGGACAAUGGGCGCAAGCCUGAUCCAGCCAUGCCGCGUGCAGGAUGACGGUCCUAUGGAUUGUAAACUGCUUUUGUACAGGAAGAAACACUACUUCGUGAAGUAGCUUGACGGUACUGUAAGAAUAAGGAUCGGCUAACUCCGUGCCAGCAGCCGCGGUAAUACGGAGGAUCCAAGCGUUAUCCGGAAUCAUUGGGUUUAAAGGGUCCGUAGGCGGUUUGGUAAGUCAGUGGUGAAAGCCCAUCGCUCAACGGUGGAACGGCCAUUGAUACUGCCAGACUUGAAUUAUUAGGAAGUAACUAGAAUAUGUAGUGUAGCGGUGAAAUGCUUAGAGAUUACAUGGAAUACCAAUUGCGAAGGCAGGUUACUACUAAUUGAUUGACGCUGAUGGACGAAAGCGUGGGUAGCGAACAGGAUUAGAUACCCUGGUAGUCCACGCCGUAAACGAUGGAUACUAGCUGUUGGAAGCAAUUUCAGUGGCUAAGCGAAAGUGAUAAGUAUCCCACCUGGGGAGUACGUUCGCAAGAAUGAAACUUAAAGGAAAUUGAGG
rnacentral:rRNA from 1 species